UUAUCCUGUUUUGGUUUCAAAUCUUUAGUGGUUUUAGUGGCUCACUGAUGAUAGACAGUUUAUAUUUGAUGUUACAACAUAUAAUAUUUACAUCCUUCCCUCCUUUUAUAAAUGGUGUAUUUGAUAAAGAUACAUCAGCUGAACAAUUAUUAGAUAAACCACAUUUAUAUAAAGCAGGUCAGAAUAGCAAGUUAUAUACAAAAUGGACAUUUGGUGUUGUUUUUCUGGAUUCAUUAUAUCAAAGUAUGGUCAUUUAUUUCAUCAACCAUUAUUCAUACGCAAACUAUAGUGUUGGUAUAUGGGAGUUUGGUACUACAAUAUGUGUUUGUAUGAUAUUAAUUAUUUUACUACAGAUUGGUCUAGAAACUAAUUCAUGGGUAUGGUUACAGUGGUUAUUUUUGAUACUAAGUUUUAUGGUAUUUUGGAUGUUUGCCAUCGUUUCUAAUGCCAUCUUUUUCACGUUUGAUCCUCCUUCUAAUCCAUAUUGGGUAAUGGAGAAUACCAUAUCUCAGGCUAUACAUUCUUGUAUUGCAAUCUUUGUUUGUGUUCUAGCUUUACUGCCAAGAGUUAUAAUAAAAUCCAUCCAAUUUACCUUUUUUCCUACGGACAUUGAUGUCGUUAAACAGCAAACUCGAGAAACCAUGACAACAGAGGAAACAGAAGAAAAUGGUGGUUGUGAAGCUACAGGCCAUGAUAAUGUUACUGCACAGUCAAUGCAACCUUAUGACGCAAGCGUAGAUAAUACCGAAACAAAAGUGAAUGGAAUGAAUGGUCCAAAUAGGGAUAACACAACACGCAGAAGGGACCAAUCAGAAUCUGUUACUGCAAAGUGUUAGUGUUUACCUACAACAAGUUUACAUCAAAUUACCUCACUACAGUGGUUAGAAAGUCUUCAAAAUUCUAGUGUUCAUUUUUUGUUUUUUUAAAAUUGUAUACGUAUUAUAAAUCCAGAUUUAAGUUGAUAAAGGUUAUUACAUUCAGCAUUGAUAGUUUGAAUGUGAAAUUUAUUUUUUAAAGAAUCAGUUAUUUUUAAAGCUAUUUGAAAAAAGUAUUUAUUUGUAUAGAUAAUCAUUGAAGCACAUACUAGGCAUAAUUAUCAGAAGAUAUUGAACAUAUUGCUUUUAUUAUCUCAAAUCCUGACCCACUCAUUGGAAUAAUCAUUGAAGCACAUGUUAAAUGAAGGCUAACUAUAAUUAUAUAUUCUUUAUUAGCUAUCACACGUACGUCUGCCUUUCAUGGUUACAUACAUAAAAGUCAUGAUCUACAGAUACACAAGGACCGAGGCGUCCUCUCACUGCACGUGUGCUAUGCGAAUCUAAUUAAUAUUCAUGAGUCUGACAGCACAUACUGGGCAUAAUUAUCUAAAGAUACUGAAUUAAUUUUCUGCAUAUCUCAACGUUUCUAUUAUCUCAAAUCCUGACCAACUUAAAACCAUCGGGACAAUCCUCUUGUCUUAAUAAUAAUAAUAUGUCCAUUUAUAUAGCAACAAAUCCACAACAUCAUGCUCAUGGCACAUACAACUAUACAAAAGUUUUUUUUGUUGUCAAUUUCUGUAGUGAAUUUUAAAAAGACGAGUCUUUAAUCGAGAUUUGAAGAUUGAAAAAGAAGUCACAAAAUGGAGUUCAACUUGGAGUGACUUCCAAUUUGACUUAAAAGAUCCUGACCAAUAUAAUAUAUUCAGGUCAUGUGAUAAUUAUAUUGUGGGUGGUCUUUUGGUAAUUUAAAUCCUAUAUUUAUAGGCUGGAAUCUCGUGAAGAUUAUAUUGGACUCCGUGGAUGAUUUAGUUAAAAUCUCAAUAUGAUUAUAUUCGACUCCGGGUAUAAUUUAGUUAAAAUCUCAAUAUGAUUAUUUUUGACUCCGAAGAUGAUUUAGUUAAAAUCUCAAUGUCAUUCGUCUGUAUAUUACUUACUGGUACAAUGAAUGUUUCAAAUGAUUAAACCCUAGGUUGUAAAUAUAUUUAUAAUGUAUUUUAUAUAUACAUGUAUUUUGUAUUAACUUAUCAUUUUAAUUUAUUGUAAAUGUAUU